GACGAACGCUGGCGGCGUGCUUAACACAUGCGAGUCGAGCGGUAAGGCUCCUUCGGGAGUACACGAGCGGCGAACGGGUGAGUAACACGUGAGUAAUCUGCCCUUCACUUCGGGAUAACCACCGGAAACGGUGGCUAAUACCGAAUACGACCAGUCUUCGCAUGAGGUGCUGGUGGAAAGUCUUUUCGGUGAAGGAUGUGCUCGCGGCCUAUCAGCUUGUUGGUGGGGUAAUGGCCUACCAAGGCUUCGACGGGUAGCCGGCCUGAGAGGGUGACCGGCCACACUGGGACUGAGACACGGCCCAGACUCCUACGGGAGGCAGCAGUGGGGAAUAUUGGACAAUGGGCGAAAGCCUGAUCCAGCAACGCCGCGUGAGGGAUGACGGCCUUCGGGUUGUAAACCUCUUUCAGUACCGACGAAGCGCCCUGUCGGGUGGUGACGGUAGGUACAGAAGAAGGACCGGCCAACUACGUG
rnacentral:rRNA from 1 species